rnacentral:rRNA from 1 species
CCUACGGGGGGCAGCAGUGGGGAAUAUUGGACAAUGGGGGCAACCCUGAUCCAGCCAUGCCGCGUGUGUGAAGAAGGCCCUCGGGUUGUAAAGCACUUUCAGUGAGGAAGAACGCCUGGUGGUUAAUACCCAUCAGGAAAGACAUCACUCACAGAAGAAGCACCGGCUAACUCCGUGCCAGCAGCCGCGGUAAUACGGAGGGUGCGAGCGUUAAUCGGAAUUACUGGGCGUAAAGCGCGCGUAGGUGGCUUGAUAAGCCGGUUGUGAAAGCCCCGGGCUCAACCUGGGAACGGCAUCCGGAACUGUCAAGCUAGAGUGCAGGAGAGGAAGGUAGAAUUCCCGGUGUAGCGGUGAAAUGCGUAGAGAUCGGGAGGAAUACCAGUGGCGAAGGCGGCCUUAUGGACUGACACUGACACUGAGGUGCGAAAGCGUGGGUAGCAAACAGGAUUAGAUACCCCAGUAGUA